ensembl:lncRNA
CUAACUUUAAGAUUUUUCUAAGUCUAACAUGACAUUUUCACCAGCAUUUCAUGUACAUACUAUAUGCAUGACUUACCAAAGCAAUAGAGAGAAGCAUCACAAAUAAUCUGUAUAGAGUACAGUAUAAACAUAAAUUUCAUCACUUUAUCAAUCCAUCUGUUCCCAACAAAUGACAUAUUAUUUGAUAUGUAUAAAUCUACUACAUGGUUAAACAGAACACAACAGAGAAAGACAUACACAAUAAUGGAUCCUAACUUAUUUCAUUUAUUAAUGAUGGAAUAAUCAGCUCUGAACAGCAGCUAAUGUCAACAUAUUUGAUGUAAACAAUUUUUUUCUCCUUUCUUUAUCGACGCCAAUCUCAUUUUCCACCCGCUGCCGCUGCUGGGGCUGGGCCUGGAGCUGCAGCAGGAGUUGCAGCAGGAGCAGAAGCGAGACUGACCAAUUGGAAGGGCAGAAGGGCCAUCAGAGCAGAGUUACCUUGAGAUGGCUGUGCAUCAGGGAAGUAGGAUGGGUACUGAGGCUGCUGAUAGGGGUAAAACCCUCCCAAACCAUGCCCAUAACCCCUGAACAUCUGUGGAGAGAGAGAAAGAGAGAUGGAUAAAUUGUUCUGAACUCAAACAAACUAGUAAUCCUAUUCAAAUAGUUUCCCAUACUAUAGUACUCUAAUAGACAGAAUACCUAAUAGAUACCAAUAGAUUGUAUUACUGCACCUCAUCGCUAGCUGAGCGCUCCUCUCGAUCAUGUUCCUCAGACACCUGCACACACAAACAAAAUCACAGGAUGAAUGAUAUUAUGGUAUAAAGUAAUCAACACUCAAAGUGUGAACUUAAGUCCAUCAUAUUGUAAUAAUUCAGAUAUUGUCAUAUUCCAAUGCAAUGCAAUCUGUGGAAACAGCAAUCUCUUGGUGUAUUGAUGCGUAAAUUGCAGUGUUGAUGUUGAAUUUCAAGAAUCUUACAGGAAUGGAAGAACAAAGUCCAAUCAGGCACACCACUAGGACUAGUAGUUUCAUGGUCACCAUGGAAUUCUUGAAAUGAAAAAGAUAUACAGUGAAUUCAAAGCUUGACACGCAUGACUAAACUCCUCUACAGUAUUCUUUGAAACUCUCACCUGUUCAAGUGAUGUACAAUGCUUGAAAUGUUGGUACUAAACUGUUAACACUGUUGCCGUAUUGUAACUUAACUGCAAAAAUAUGCUUUUUAUUUUAUUUCAUUCCACAGUCAAUUAGCUUUCAGUGCACCAAUGUGCCUUCAGUGCACCAAUGAGCUUUAGUCCCAUGAUCAAAUGUGUGUCCUGUGUCCUGGAGAUGUAAAUGUGAUGAAAUUAGGCAUUUGGUGGGUAAUCCUACAAAUCUGUAUAUCCACAGUGCCCACAAAGAACAAUGUCUCAUCAGUAUUAGGAAACUUUAGCUAAAUUGAAAGGUUUUGAAACUGUCGAUGAUUCAUCUACCUGUUUUGGGGCAUUGCGGAGGCUAAAUGAACACAUUUAAUUGUAAUGUUUAACUUUAAUUUCUUAACUUACACAAUAUAACUCAAUUACCAGACUUUAUUUAGAUUUUCUCCUAUCAUGCAAUAUAAUGUACAACACUUUUAUUUAUUUAUUAAAUAACGCAAUGUAAUGUAACACACUUUGUAUAGAUUUCUCACAAUUUUCAUAAACUUAAUGAGCAUUCAUCAGAGGACUGGACAGACAUACAAUUGAGCUUGAAAUAUUAAUGUGUUUAUUAAACAGAAAUGCAUAAAGGAAUCACACUUCAUAGUCAAUGUCUGGGAGUUCCAUGAAAUACCUGAUCGACUGAAAAGUGAAUUAAUGAAUUUAAAGGAUAUACAUUGUACUUAUGAUGUUUGGGGAAUCCAGUGUUGGGAAAGGUACCCAAUUGUCAUACUUGAGUGAAAGUAAAAAUACCUUAAUAGAAAUGAAAGUUACCCAGUUAAAUACAACUUGAGUAACAGUCUAAAAGUAUUUGGUUUUAAAUAUACUUAAGUAUCAAAAGUAUAUGUAAUUGCUCAAAUAUACUUAAGUAUCAAAUGUAAAAGUGAAAGUAUAAAUCAUUUCAAAAACCUUAUAUUAAACAAACCAGACGGCACCAUUUUCUUGUUUACUUUAUUUACGGAUAGCCAGGGGUACACUCCAACACUCAGACAUCUUUAGAAACUAAGCAUUUGUGUUUUGUGAGUCCACCAGAUCAGAGGCAGUAGGGAUGACCAGGGAUGUUCUCUUGAUAAGCGUAUGCAUUUGUUCCUGUCCUGCAAAGCAUUCAAAAAGUAUUUUUGGAGGUCAAGGAAUAUGUAUGGGGUAAAAUGUGCAUUUUUUUCUUUAGGAAUUUUGUGAAGUAAAAGUUGUCCGAAAUAUAUAUAGUAAAGUAAAGUACAGAAAACUAUUUAAGUAGUACUUUAAAGUAUUUUUUACUUAAGUGCUUUACACCAGUGGGGGAAACUAAUAUACAUGUUGAGAUAUGAAAUGAAUAAUGGCUGGGUUACUGUAACAUGACUUCACCUGUUUAACGUCCACCUGGGGCAGGGGCUGGGGCUGGGGUCGGAGCAGGGGAUGGGGCUGGAGCAGGGGCUGGGGCAGGAGCAGGGGCUGGGGCAGGAGCAGGGGAUGGGGCUGGAGCAGGAGCAGGGGCUGGGGCAGGUGCUGGGGCAGGGGGAGCAGGAGCAGGAGCAGGAGCAGGAGCAGGAGCAGGAGCAGGAGCAGGAGCAGGAGCAGGAGCAGGGGCUGGGGCAGGGGCAGGUGAAGGGGCAGGGGCAGGUGAAGGGGCUGGGGAAGGUGCAGGAGCUGGGGCAGGGGCUGGGGCUGGGGCAGGGGCAGGGGCUGGGGCUGGGGCUGGGGGGGCAGGGGCUGGGGCAGGGGGCAGGGGCUGGGGCAGGGGCUGGGGCAGGGGCUGGUGCUGGGACAGAGGCAGCAAACAGUUUAAGUAGAAGUUGAAGUAGCUGAUUUGAAUUCAACUGUGGCAGGGAGGGCAGAAAGGAACCAGCCUAAAUAGGAAAAGAAAACAGCAGUUUUUUUCUCAUUCAAUGUCCUUUUGAUAUACAC